CAAUAAAAGUGAGGAAGUACCUAUUUUGUCCAGUCGACAUAGGCUUUAUAGGACCACACACAUCUGUGUGUACUAACUCAAGUGGCUUGUUUGCUUUCCAGUUGACUUCUUUGG